CGGGAAGUAGUUCAGUUGGCAGAACGCGGGCUUUGGGAGCUUGAGGUCGCAGGUUCGAGUCCUGUUUUCCCGA
rnacentral:tRNA from 1 species